AUUACUUUGGCAGAUUAGUGUGUUUGAUUUAGAAUCAAUUUAUGUUUUAUAAACAGGUAAUA
rnacentral:tRNA from 1 species